rnacentral:misc_RNA from 1 species
GAUGAAGAACGUAGCGAAAUGCGAUAAGUAAUGUGAAUUGCAGAAUUCAGUGAACCACCGAAUCUUUGAACGCACAUUGCGCCCGGCAGUAAUCUGCCGGGCAUGCCUGUCCGAGCGUCAUUUCUCCCCUCGAGCGCAGCUUUCCCCCCCGGGGGAGGGCCGCGCCCGGUGUUGGGGCGCUACGGAGGAGCCCAGCGCUCCCCCGUAGGCCCCGAAAUGUAGUGGCGGUCCCGCCGCGGCGCCCCCUGCGUAGUAGUUUUACAACUCGCAUCGGGUCCCGGCGGAGGCCAGCCGUCAAACCCCCCAACUUCAAUAGUUUGACCUCGGAUCAGGUAGGGUUACCCGCUGAACUUAAGCAUAUCAAUAAGCGGAGGA